AUUGAACGCUGGCGGCAGGCUUAACACAUGCAAGUCGAGCGGGGUGAUGGUGCUUGCACUAUCACUUAGCGGCGGACGGGUGAGUAAUGCUUAGGAAUCUGCCUAUUAGUGGGGGACAACAUCUCGAAAGGGAUGCUAAUACCGCAUACGUCCUACGGGAGAAAGCAGGGGAUCACUUGUGACCUUGCGCUAAUAGAUGAGCCUAAGUCGGAUUAGCUAGUUGGUGGGGUAAAGGCCUACCAAGGCGACGAUCUGUAGCGGGUCUGAGAGGAUGAGCCGCCACACUGGGACUGAGACACGGCCCAGACUCCUACGGGAGGGAGCAGUGGGGAAUAUUGGAAAAUGGGGGGAACCCUGAUCCAGCCAUGCCGCGUGUGUGAAGAAGGCCUUAUGGUUGUAAAGCACUUUAAGCGAGGAGGAGGCUCUUUUGGUUAAUACCCAAGAUGAGUGGACGUUACUCGCAGAAUAAGCACCGGCUAACUCUGUGCCAGCCGCCGCCGUAA
rnacentral:rRNA from 1 species